GAGAAGUGUCGUCAGUAUAUCGUCAGUUACUAUCAGUUGUAAGGACGAAGAAGAUGGUAGAAGAAAGUAGAAAUAAUUUCAAGAUGUAACCUUGAACAAAGAGCAGGUGUUUUAUUUUUUGUUUCUCUUCAUAUAUAGCAAAAAUAGAUAGGUCUUCGUCAUUCUUGUUACCGGCAUCGCUGAGACUAGUUGGGAUCCGUAUGUGAUGACGAAGUUUUAUCAUCUCGUAAUUACAGGAAAUGAUAUCAGUAAUCAUUCUCGGAAAUUUGUUUUCGUGUACGAACUUAUGAGAGAUUUAUAGCAGGGAUGGAUAUAGAUGAUCUCUCUUUCUCAGAAUGAUACGAUACCUACUCGUAAUAACAUUCUCGGCUAUUCUUCUGUUGGAUUAUGAUUGCAGUUCUUCGUGCAGCAAUAGAUGAAUCGAUCUUUGUUUCGAUAAAGUAAAAAAGUAAUUGUGAAGUAAAUUUGUUGUUAAUGUUUUUCAGUUAAUUUAAAUUUGUUUGCGUUUUAUGAUGUUAAAAAACUUUUAGAAAUAUGUGUGUAUAAAUAAUUUGGGUCCAAAGCAGUCAUAGAGUCAAUAUUUGUUCGUAUAAAAUUUUCUUUUUCUUUUUCUCUGCAAUCAGAUAUACUGUAGAUACUUAUAUGUAAAACAAGCAAUAGACAUUCGCGAAUUAAACUCAUUGUUUGCCUCUUAAUUAUUAAAUAAUUAUUGCGUAUUUGAGUCAGUGCAUCAUGGAAGAUGAUCAAGGACCUAUUAUACUUCUGUAGAAGAAUAUUGAUUUGCAUUGUCAUUAAGUCAAUGUAUUACAAAUUCAAUCUAAUUAAUUAUCCAUCUACGUCGAUUUAUUUCAUUUUGGACUUAUUACGGAACAGCUUACAUAAAUUUCGAGCUACAACGGGGCGAGUGUUUUGGAGAUUGUGGAUCUUAAGCAUUUCUACCAGAUGAGUGUUACAAGCAAUUAAUUUUUCAACUAAAUUGGUAUUGGUAUACCAAUUGUCUGCAUAAAUUGUGUGGCCUUUAUAGGGUAUAUUGUUACACAUGCUCAUACAAGACUUGUUAGUGUUAAACAUGGUGCGUUUGAUUUUUUUCCAGAAUAUAUUUGAAAUUGGCCCUGAAAUAGGAUAUGAAUAUAUAAGUGGAAUCUCAUUUGAUAUAAUCUUAAUAUUGCUUCUUAUCAUUAUCAGUUUAUAAUCUUAGAAUUGAACUGAUUAAUUCAAACAUCAUAUUUUCAUUUCCGCUAUCA